rnacentral:rRNA from 1 species
UACGUAGGGUGCGAGCGUUAAUCGGAAUUACUGGGCGUAAAGCGUGCGCAGGCGGCUUUGCAAGACAGAUGUGAAAUCCCCGGGCUCAACCUGGGAACUGCAUUUGUGACUGCAUGGCUUGAGUGCGGCAGAGGGGGAUGGAAUUCCGCGUGUAGCAGUGAAAUGCGUAGAUAUGCGGAGGAACACCGAUGGCGAAGGCAAUCCCCUGGGCCUGCACCGACGCUCAUGCACGAAAGCGUGGGGAGCAAACAGG